UACGAAGGGGCUAGCGUUGCUCGGAAUGAUGUACGUGGGCGUAAAGGGCGGCGUUAGGCGGAUGGCACAAGUUCAGAUGUGAAAAUUCCCGGGCUUAACCUGGGGCUGCAUUUGAUACGUGUUGUCUUGAGUUCGGAAGAGGGUCGUGGAAUUCCCAGUGUAGAGGUGAAAUUCGUAGAUAUUGGGAAGAACACCGGUGGCGAAGGCGGCGACCUGGUCCGACACUGACGCUGAGGCGCGAAAGCGUGGGGAGCAAACAGG
rnacentral:rRNA from 1 species